GACGUAGGGUGCAAGCGUUGUCCGGAUUUACUGGGCGUAAAGAGCGCGUAGGCGGCUCGUUAAGUGAGAAGUGAAAGCUGUGGGCUCAACCCACAAACCGCUUUUCAUACUGGCGAGCUGGAGUGAUGCAGAGGUGGAUAGAAUUCCUGGUGUAGCGGUGAAAUGCGUUGAUAUCAGGAGGAAUACCCGUGGCGAAGGCGGUCCACUGGGCAUCAACUGACGCUGAGGCGCGAAAGCAUGGGGAGCGAACAGG
rnacentral:rRNA from 1 species